GAGAGAGGCGGAAGGGUGAGUAAUGCCUAGGAAUCUGCCUGGUAGUGGGGGAUAACGCUCGGAAACGGACGCUAAUACCGCAUACGUCCUACGGGAGAAAGCAGGGGACCUUCGGGCCUUGCGCUAUCAGAUGAGCCUAGGUCGGAUUAGCUAGUUGGUGAGGUAAUGGCUCACCAAGGCGACGAUCCGUAACUGGUCUGAGAGGAUGAUCAGUCACACUGGAACUGAGACACGGUCCAGACUCCUACGGGAGGCAGCAGUGGGGAAUAUUGGACAAUGGGCGAAAGCCUGAUCCAGCCAUGCCGCGUGUGUGAAGAAGGUCUUCGGAUUGUAAAGCACUUUAAGUUGGGAGGAAGGGCAGUAAAUUAAUACUUUGCUGUUUUGACGUUACCGACAGAAUAAGCACCGGCUAACUCUGUGCCAGCAGCCGCGGUAAUACAGAGGGUGCAAGCGUUAAUCGGAAUUACUGGGCGUAAAGCGCGCGUAGGUGGUUUGUUAAG
rnacentral:rRNA from 1 species